rnacentral:rRNA from 1 species
UGGGGAAUAUUGCACAAUGGAGGGAACUCUGAUGCAGCGACGCCGCGUGAACGAAGAAGGCUUUCGAGUCGUAAAGUUCUUUUAUAUGGGAAGAUAAUGACGGUACCAUAAGAAAAAGCCCCGGCUAACUACGUGCCAGCAGCCGCUGUAAUACGUAGGGGGCUAGCGUUGUCCGGAAUCACUGGGCGUAAAGGGUUCGCAGGCGGAAAUGCAAGUCAGGUGUAAAAGGCAGUAGCUUAACUACUGUAAGCAUUUGAAACUGCAUAUCUUGAGAAGAGUAGAGGUAAGUGGAAUUUUUAGUGUAGCGGUGAAAUGCGUAGAUAUUAAAAAGAAUACCGGUGGCGAAGGCGACUUACUGGGCUCAUUCUGACGCUGAGGAACGAAAGCGUGGGUAGCAAACAGG